rnacentral:tRNA from 1 species
GGGGAUGUGGCUUAGUGGUAGAGUGCUUGCCUAGCAUGCAUGGAGCCCUGGGUUUGAUUCCUCAUUACCA